GACGUAGGGCGCGAGCGUUUGUCCGGAAUCAUUGGGCGUAAAGAGCGCGUAGGCGGCCAGAUAAGUCCGGUGUAGAAAGUCAAAGGCUCAAACCUUUGAAUGCCGCUGGAAAACUGGUCUGGGCUAGAGUCCGGGAGGGGCGAGUGGAAUUCCUGGUGUAGGAGGUGAAAUUCGUAGAUAUUGGGAAGAACACCGGUGGCGAAGGCGGCGACCUGGUCCGAUACUGACGCUGGAGGCGACGAAAGCGUCGGGGAGCAAACAGG
rnacentral:rRNA from 1 species